GGAGGAUCCAAGCGUUAUCCGGAAUCAUUGGGUUUAAAGGGUCCGUAGGCGGUUUAGUAAGUCAGUGGUGAAAGCCCAUCGCUCAACGGUGGAACGGCCAUUGAUACUGCUAAACUUGAAUUAUUAGGAAGUAACUAGAAUAUGUAGUGUAGCGGUGAAAUGUUUAGAGAUUACAUGGAAUACCAAUUGCGAAGGCAGGUUACUACUAAUGGAUUGACGCUGAUGGACGAAAGCGUGGGUAGCGAACAGGAUUAGAUACCCUGGUAGUCCACGCCGUAAACGAUGGAUACUAGCUGUUGGGAGCAAUCUCAGUGGCUAAGCGAAAGUGAUAAGUAUCCCACCUGGGGAGUACGUUCGCAAGAAUG
rnacentral:rRNA from 1 species